rnacentral:rRNA from 1 species
AGAGUUUGAUCCUGGCUCAGCCUGAACGCUGGCGGCGUGGCUAAGACAUGCAAGUCGUACGGGACCCGCAAGGGUUCAGUGGCGGACGGGCGAGUAAUGAAUCGCUAAUGUACCCCAGAGUCUGGGAUAGCUGACCGAAAGGUCAGGUAAUACCAGAUGAUAUAUCCGGUUGGCGUCAACUGGAUCUCAAAGGGCAAUCGCUCUGGGAGCAGGCGAUUUCGUAUCAGCUUGUUGGUGAGGUAACGGCUCACCAAGGCGACGACGCGUAGCUGGUCUGAGAGGACGGCCAGCCACAUUGGGACUGAGACACUGCCCAGACUCCUACGGGGGGCUGCAGUAACGAAUCUUUCGCAAUGCACGCAAGUGUGACGGAGCGACGCCGCGUGUGGGACGAAGUCCUUCGGGAUGUAAACCACUGUCAGGGGUUAGAAAGUUCUGAUCAACCCCAGAGGAAGAGACGGCUAACUCUGUGCCAGCAGCCGCGGUAAUACAGAGGUCUCGAGCGUUAGGCGGAAUCACUGGGCUUAAAGCGUGUGUAGGUGGAUGCCUAAGUACCUUGUGAAAUCCCACGGCUUAACCGUGGAACUGCUUGGUAUACUGGGUGUCUUGAGUCACUCAGGGGCGAGCGGAACAAAUGGUGGAGCGGUGAAAUGCGUAGAUAUCAUUUGGAACGCCAAUGGUGAAAACAGCUCGCUGGGGGUGCACUGACACUGAGACACGAAAGCCAGGGGAGCGAACGGGAUUAGAUACCCCGGUAGUCCUGGCCGUAAACGAUGUCGACUAGAUCGUGGUGGCUCUGACGUCAUCACGGUCGAAGCAAAAGUGCUAAGUCGACCGCCUGGGAAGUACGGUCGCAAGGCUAAAACUCAAAGGAAUUGACGGGGGCUCACACAAGCGGUGGAGCAUGUGGUUCAAUUCGAAGCAACGCGCAGAACC